GGAUGAUGGGUUUCAGAGGUUCUUGGCCAUGCUGCUAAGUGGGGCCUCCCAGCUUGGGGUUUAAGCUGCCACUCAGUCAACGUCACCCUGCAGUUAUUCUACCUCCUGUGAACUGAACUUUAGAGCGACAACUGGCAUCAGAAAAUUACUGAGGGAGAAUGAGAUUGAAUGAAGGCAUUCUGAAUCAGUUGGAGGUUAUUCCUUUUCCCAGUCUAUUUGAUAUUCCAUAACUUCACCUAAUGACAUUCUUCUGCAAGUGACACCAAGCCCACAUUUAAAGAGCGAAUCGAGUGGGUGAAGGAGUCUGGAGAAUAUUGCAGAGGUAGAAUGGGGCAAGAGCAUAAAGGGAUUUAAAGAACACCACAAACGUACUGCAUACAGAAACCUUAUAUGGAGAGACAAACUCAUAAAUGAUGAACCACUUCAAUGCAAAGUGUGAAUUGGCAAGCAAUUGUACAAGUGGAGUGGGCUCUCGGUUAUUGGAAUUCAGUGGUCUAACUGCUGGCUAGUCAACACCGGUUUGUAUUCUCAGAACAUAUCUCAAUGGUAAUACUAAUAACUUCCAUAUAUGUAGCAUGUUUUAUAUAAAAUAAAUG